UUGGCCACAACUGUAUUAUACUAGUACUUCAGGACUAUCAUUCCCUAUGAUAUUAUAUUAGUACUUCAGUACAAUCAGUCCCUAUUGUAUUAUACUAGUACUUCAGGACUAUCAGUCCCUAUGAUAUUAUACUAGUACUUCAGUACUAUCAGUCCCUAUGAUAUACUAGUACUUCAGUACUAUCAGUCCCUAUGAUAUUAUACUAGUACGGAAGUACUAUCAGUCCCUAUUGUAUUAUACUAGUACUUCAGUACUAUCAGGGUGGUACUGAGAGUGCACUGUGUGUGAAGGUGCUCACUCUUGUGUGAAGGAGGUUUUUGUACGGAGACUUCACCAGAAUUAAUCACUGUGGUACACUUUUGGAAGUGGCACAAAACUGGUGUUGAAAACUGGUCCCUCUGUCAGGCCCACAGUGUCUCUGCUCCCCCCGUCCUCUGAGCAGCUCUCCGGGGGCUCGGCCACACUGGCCUGCCUGCUGAGUGGCUACUCCCCCCAGGGGGCGAUGGUGAGCUGGGAGGUGGACGGGGCGGAAGUGAAGGAGGGGGUCCUGACCACCACAGAAGAAGAGAAGGGUGGCCGCUACAGUCGCAGCAGCACCCUGACCCUGAGCAAGGCACGCUGGGAAGAGGGAGAGGUCUACACCUGCAGGGUCGCCCACGACGACACCAGUGAUUCGGCCGCCUUCCGGAAAAGUCACUGUAGUGUCUAGAAGCCAUUGUAGGGGGCUAGAGAGUCCCCACAUGGUGCAAGUGAAAGAAACAUUAGUGUUUAAGAGCUGAAUGUUACAGUAGAAUAGUGAAUAAUAUCAGUAGUGCUGUGUGCUAAAUGAACUAUUUUGAGAUUUAGUUGUACAUGUCUUCUUGCCUUUGAGUUCAAAUAAAGCUUGUUUUGAUUAAAAAA